UCCCAUCACGAUUUUAUUGAAAAGAAGAAGCGACUUGUAUUUAUAAUUUUGUACAUUAAAUUCUUUUAUAAAAAUUAAUUGGGUUAACCAAUAAGACAGAUUAUCAAGAAAUGUAUUUGCAAUUGAGUGUUUCAUGUAGUGAAAGUGACAAUUCCGGACUGCAAAACACUUUCGGGACGCUCUGGAGUACACAACUUUAAUUUAAUCACUUCAAUGUUGACAGUUGACAGUUUCACUUCGAUGAUUUUGCAUAACCUUAAAUUUUUAAUUUUCUGAAAUUAUUUGUUUUAUCCGAAGUUUUGUCUAAAUUAAUGAAUAACAUGAUAAAAAAGAAAACAUCAGAGCUGAAGAUUUGCUCGAAUCCACGCCACCUGAUUUGAAGAAGCAAUGCGGCCGUUUUAAUUCGUUGCCGGAUAAAUCUAGUGCAAGAUACGAAAAACAGUAUGAGCUCUUUAUGAAGUGGUUUUCAGAAAAAUCUAAAAUCUGGAAAUGUUCUACUUUAUAGUCUACAUUCUCGAUAAUUAAAAGUAUUCUCGCAAUAAAACAAGAUGCUCAUAUCGACAAAUAUACAAAACUCAUCAAUUUCCUGAAGAAACAAAGCAAAGGAAUCAUACACUUUAGGACUUUCGAACAAGUCUUUAGAAUUUUGAAGAAACUCCGGAAAAUUUGCUUAAAAUAAAGUAAGUACAGAUUCAAAAAACACAAGUAAGAACCUUGUAGUUGGGUUAAGUUUGUUUAGAACAUUCUGGAUAAGUUCUACAGUGAUGUUUUCAAAAAACAGGGGACUUGUUGGAAUUUAAUAAAUUUUUGAUGUUCAAACCAUUAUAAAAAAAACAUUCUCUUAUUUUUGUCUUUCGUCACAUAUUUUCUGGUAAACAUUUUUUUUUCUUCAUAUACUUAUUAUCAUAAAAACGUGUGCCGAAAUUGAGAGAGUUGCAACUCCAAAAUCUUAUUUUACUGUACUAUUUAGUUUUCUCCAGGUUUGCAAAUUCUUAACAAUAUCCAACAGUUCCUGAAAACGAAUCAUUUUAUUGGUUCACCCUAUAUCCGUUUAGACAAUUGUACAAUUUUUACAAGGUAGUUUCUAAUGUUUUUUUUGACAAAUUAAAAUUUGCAAAGGGCUUGUUUGAUAUAAUAAUAAUUUAAUCAACUUACUUAGACGAAUUUUGAACAACAGGUAUCAAAUAAGAAUUAGAUUUCGUUGUUGUAAAUUAAUUAAGUAUAAUUAUUGGAAGAAUUUCAUUAAUAAAUGCUCAUUAUGUUCUAUUUUCUUCUUUAAAUAAUAUAUAGCUAAAUACGAAAAUACACUUUGUAUACUUGCAGAUACUGUGAAAAUUCAAUAUCUGUCAAAAUUUCAGAUUUUAAGACGGUUUUCUUUAAGAUUCGUCUCAUAAAAAUAAUAUCAUAUUAGCUUAAAUGGUAUUUAAAUCAAUUUCUCGCACUACCAUUUUCUGCUAAGAAGCUUCAGUUAUUUGUUAGACUUAUUGAGCUUCAUGUAUACUGCUAAGGCUUUUUACUAUUUCAAUUGCUAGUGAAAUUUCUUUGAAAAUAAUUUUUAAAUAAAUAAGAUUCAGUACUAUCUGCAUAGAGUUGUCUCCUCCAAAAUUUGGAAACACUCGAAGUAAAAUAAUCUAACCUUACUUUUUGGACAAAAAGCACUUAAAAGGAAACAGCCAUUUUCUUUUAAAUCUAGCAAUUAUUAAGAAUUAAUUCGAAAAGUAAGCGAUUUUUAAAUGAAUAGUUGGUUGAUUGAAAUAAAUAAAAAUUGUAUGUGUAUCGCAUAAGAACUGACACAGAGCAGAGCUAAAGGUUAGGUCACGCCUAAUUAAUCUGCAGGAACUAUUCGAUCGCCUUCUACUUAUCAUUACUUAAUUCGAUUCCAAAGAAAUUGAUUUGAUACUUGUUAUAAAGGUAAAUUCCUCAUAAUCGUCUUAUUUUGGACACCCCUAAACUCAUUUUCUGUGUGUCAGUUGUUGUGCGAAACAUCCCGGAUAUAAACUGCAAUUAAAAUGUAGAUAAAUUUUGCAAAUUUUAGUAUACCUACAAUCAUUUUAUUUUGAACAUAAGAAAACAUUAUUAUUAAUAAUAUUUAAAUAUGUGGGUCCAGACUGAUGCUUUCGAUCAACAUUAUAACUGUGGUUUAACAUUCAUAAUAUUGAUAGUACAAGCAAUAAAUUUACUUGAUCCUACAAUCAUUGCUUAGAAUUAGUGUUCCUCGUAGAACAUUGAAGAAAUUAUCCAAUUUGUUUCAUUAUCAUCUAUUGUUUUAUAACAAAGAUUCGUUCUCUAUUAAAUUUCAUAUUUUGAUUAAUUACUUCACAUGCAAAUUAAUUAGAAGAGUGGAUUUAUGGUUUAUAUAUAAGUCAGUAAAGAUGAAUGAUGUACUAGAAAAAAAAUAACAAA